rnacentral:tRNA from 1 species
GCAGAGGUAGCGAAGUUUGGCCCAACGUGCAGGACUUAAGAUCCUGUGGCUUAGCGCCCUCGAGGGUUCAAAUCCCUCCCUCUGCA